CCGGCGACCGAUAGUGAACUAGUACCGUGAGGGAAAGGUGAAAAGGACCCCGUGAGGGGAGUGAAAAGUACCUGAAACCGUGCGCCUACAAGGUGUCGGAGCAGUCUUCGGAUUGUGACGGCGUGCCUUUUGCAUAAUGAGUCUGCGAGUUAUUGUUCGUGGCCUGCCUAAGUUCCUUUGGGACGGAGGCGAAGCGAAAGCGAGUGUGACAAGCGCGUCUUGUCGCGGGCAAUAGACCCGAAGCGGAGGUGAUCUAGCCAUGGCCAGGUUGAAGCUGCAGUAACAUGCAGUGGAGGACCGAACCAGUGUACGUUGAAAAGUGCUNGGAUGAGCUGUGGCUGGGAGUGAAAGGCUAAUCAAACCCCGUNAUAGCUGGUUCUCUCCGAAAUAGCUUUAGGGCUAGCGUCAGGCAAGGAUUCGAGGGGUAGAGCACUGAAUGGCUUAGGGCCCAUACCCGGGUACCAAAACCAAUUAAACUCCGAAUACUCGAACUCCGUACUGGCAGUCAGACUAUGGGUGAUAACAUUCAUGGUCGAAAGGGAAACAACCCAGAUCGCCGGCUAAGGUGCCCAAACUGGAUUAAGUGGAAAGGAUGUGGAAUUGCAUAGACAGUGAGGAUGUUGGCUUAGAAGCAGCCACCAUUUAAACAUAGCGUAACAGCUGACUCAUCGAGCGAUUCUGCGCCGAAAAUGAUUGGCGAUUAAAUCCAGUACCGAAGCCGCGGACGUGUUUUACACGUGGUAGGAGAGCGUCGUCUAUGCGCUGAAGCUGAACUGUAAGGGACAGUGGAGCGUAGACGAGUGAGGAUGCAGACAUGAGUAGCGAUAAAACAGGUGAGAAUCCUGUUCGCCGUAAACCCAAGGUUUCCCAUAGCCACGCUCGUCGGCUUGGGGUUAGUCGGGUCCUAAGGUGAGGCCGUAAGGCGUAAUCGAUGGACAGCAGGUUAAUAUUCCUGCACCGGCAGUGUAUUUAGUGUGUGAGUGCGCGGAGAAGGAAGAUGCAUACAUAACGUUAUGGAAGAGGCUUAGUCCACGAGGCGAAGCCCGCAUUGGAAAUCUCUGCCUAGAAAAGCUCAUACACAUUCUAUGCCUGUCGCCCGUACCGUAAACCGCCACAGGUAGGAGGGUGUAAAUGUACCAAGGCGCGCGAGAGAAACCUCUUUAAGGAACUCUGCAAAUUAGCCCCGUAACUUCGGAAGAAGGGGUGCCAUCUUCGGAUGGCCACAGUAAAGGGUGACUGGCGACUGUUUACCAAAAACACAGCUCUCUGCUAAGAUGUUAAGUCUACGUAUAGGGAGUGACACGUGACCAAUGCCGAAAGAUCAAGGCUGUUCUGUUAACGCAGGGCACCCAAGUCCCGGUGAAUGUCGGCCGUAACUAUAACGGUCCUAAGGUAGCGAAAUUCCUUGUCGGGUAAGUUCCGACCUGCACGAAUCGUG
rnacentral:rRNA from 1 species